AUGGCAGCGGCCACCAUGUCCCUCUCCUCCCCGGCCUUCGCCGGCAAGGCGGUGAAGAAUGUGUCGUUGUCGGCCCUCUUCGGUGAGGCACGCGUCACCAUGCGCAAGACUGCGGCAAAGGCAAAGCAAGUUGCUUCGAGCAGCCCGUGGUAUGGUGCCGAACGCGUGCUCUACCUUGGCCCACUAUCAGGUGAGCCGCCGAGCUAUUUGACCGGUGAGUUCCCCGGUGACUACGGGUGGGACACCGCUGGACUAUCGGCUGACCCCGAGACCUUCGCAAAGAACCGUGAGCUGGAGGUGAUCCAUUGCCGAUGGGCCAUGCUUGGUGCCCUUGGCUGUGUCUUCCCUGAGUUGCUCGCCCGCAAUGGUGUUAAGUUUGGCGAGGCUGUUUGGUUCAAGGCUGGCUCCCAAAUCUUCAGCGAGGGUGGCCUCGACUAUCUCGGCAACCCCAGCCUCGUCCACGCGCAAAGCAUCCUGGCCAUUUGGGCUUGCCAAGUUGUGCUCAUGGGUGCCGUCGAGGGGUUUCGCAUUGCCGGUGGCCCACUUGGCGAGAUCGUUGACCCACUUUACCCUGGAGGCAGCUUUGACCCGCUCGGCCUAGCCGACGACCCUGAGGCGUUCGCGGAGCUCAAGGUGAAGGAGAUCAAGAACGGCCGCCUUGCCAUGUUCUCCAUGUUUGGCUUCUUUGUGCAGGCCAUCGUCACCGGCAAAGGCCCACUAGAGAACCUUGCUGACCAUAUCACUGAUCCCGUCAACAACAAUGCAUGGGCAUUUGCCACCAACUUCGUGCCCGGCAAGUAA
rnacentral:rRNA from 1 species